AUGAAUUCUAAUGAUGGGUCGAGUUCUCGUUUUUGAAUACUGAACAGCGCGUAGUCAAACCGUGUUCGUGGCAUGUCUUUGUUUUCUUCUUCAGGAGGAAGAAACCCCGACCCAAGUUAGGUGUGGAGGCUUUUGGUUUGAUUUUGGAGCUUUGAAACAGUAAAAGAGCAUCUUCCAACUUGCAAAAGACGCCAUUUACAGUGAUUUAUUCCCACAAAUAAGCUUGAAUUUAUGGGACAGCCAUGUUUUUCCAGAUUUGGAUUGAAGCUUCAUGAGGAUGGAAAAGAGAAGUAAAAUGACAACAGAACAACGCGAAUAGAUAAGUAAAAUGACAACAGAACAACACGAAUAGCCAUUAAAAGACCAUAGAUGUCAGGAAAAAAAGAGGUACGCCUAUAACACCAUGCAGAUCUUAGCAACUGACCAUAUUUGCCAAGAGAGAAACGGUCGUCUUUGAUACAAGUUUUGCCAGUGGUUUGUAUACCACAGUGGAUUUGCUAUCAAAUUUCGAAACAUUAUCAGAUGAAUUACAAACUGCUGCUCCAGAGAUC